rnacentral:rRNA from 1 species
CAGAGGUCCCAAGCGUUGUUCGGAUUCACUGGGCGUAAAGGGUGCGUAGGUGGUAAGGCAAGUCAGGUGUGAAAUCUCCGGGCUCAACCCGGAAAUGGCAUUCGAAACUACCUUGCUAGAGGGUUUGAGGGGGACUGGAAUACUUGGUGUAGCAGUGAAAUGCGUAGAUAUCAAGUGGAACACCAGUGGCGAAGGCGAGUCCCUGGAAAACUCCUGACACUGAGGCACGAAAGCUAGGGGAGCAAACAGGAUUAGAUACCCUGGUGGUCCUAGCCCUAAACGGUGCUUGCUUGCUGUAAGAGGAAUCGACCCCUUUUGUGGCGGAGCUAACGCGUUAAGCAAGCCGCCUGGGAAGUACGGUCGCAAGAUUA